rnacentral:tRNA from 1 species
GGCCCGGUGGCGGAAACGUCUUACGCGAGAGCUGUGCAAAGCUUUUUAUCCUGGUUCAAAUCCAGGCCGGGCCUCCA